GACGAACGCUGGCGGCGUGCCUAAUACAUGCAAGUCGAGCGGACAGAUAAGGAGCUUGCUCCUUUGAAGUCAGCGGCGGACGGGUGAGUAACACGUGGGCAACCUGCCUAUAAGACUGGGAUAACUCCGGGAAACCGGGGCUAAUACCGGAUAGAUUCUUUCCUCUCAUGAGGAAGAAGGAAAGACGGUUUCGGCUGUCACUUAUAGAUGGGGCCCGCGGCGCAUUAGCUAGUUGGUAAGGUAACGGCUUACCAAGGCAACGAUGCGUAGCCGACCUGAGAGGGUGAUCGGCCACACUGGGACUGAGACACGGCCCAGACUCCUACGGGAGGCAG
rnacentral:rRNA from 1 species